CCUACGGGAGGCAGCAGUGAGGAAUAUUGGUCAAUGGACGCAAGUCUGAACCAGCCAAGCCGCGUGCGGGAAGACGGUCCUAUGAAUUGUAAACCGCUUUUGUCCGGGAGCAAAGGCAGCUACGCGUAUCUGGCUGAAAGUAACGGAAGAAAAAGGAUCGGCUAACUCCGUGCCAGCAGCCGCGGUAAUACGGAGGAUUCCAGCGUUAUCCGGAUUUAUUGGGGUUAAAGGGUGCGGGGGCGGUCGGGUAAGUUAGAGGUGAAAUCCCGGGGCUCAACCUCGGACCUGCCUCUGAUACUGGUCGUCUAGAGAGUGGGAGAAGUAUGCGGAAUGUGUGGUGUAGCGGUGAAAUGCAUAGAGAUCAUGCAGAACACCGAUUGCGAAGGCAGCAUACCG
rnacentral:rRNA from 1 species